ACAAGAAGACCAAGAGGGGAAAAAGGUUCAACCACUCGUACGGAAAUGCGAGGCCGCGCAACAAGAAGAAGGGAACUGGCCCUGCACGGCUGUUCGCGCCGCCUGCGCCUCCGAGGAAGGACCAGUUCGACGACGGCGAGGUCACCCCGAUCGACAUCGACGAUGACAUCCUGGAAUAGGUUGUCUGAAUUUCCCCCCUUGAAUUAUGGUUUACCUUGAGCUUACCUUUUG
rnacentral:misc_RNA from 1 species